AACGUAGGACGCAAGCGUUAUCCGGAAUUACUGGGCGUAAAGCGCGUGUAGGUGGUUGUGCAAGUCACUGUUGAAAGCUCCCGGCUAAACUGGGAGAGGUGCGGUGAGACUGCGCGACUGGAGUAUGGGAGAGGGAUGCGGAAUUCCGGGUGUAGUGGUGAAAUGCGUAGAGAUCCGGAGGAACACCAGAGGCGAAGGCGGCAUCCUGGCCUGAUGCUGACACUGAGACGCGAAAGCAUGGGGAGCGAACGGG
rnacentral:rRNA from 1 species